UACGUAGGGGGCAAGCGUUGUCCGGACUUAUUGGGCGUAAAGAGCGUGUAGGCGGCCAUGCAGGUCCGUUGUGAAAACUCGAGGCUCAACCUCGAGACGUCGAUGGAAACCGCAUGGCUAGAGUCCGGAAGAGGAGAGUGGAAUUCCUGGUGUAGCGGUGAAAUGCGCAGAUAUCAGGAAGAACACCCGUGGCGAAGGCGGUUCUCUGGGACGGUACUGACGCUGAGGCGCGAAAGCUAGGGGAGCGAACAGG
rnacentral:rRNA from 1 species